AGAAUAGAUACCUCCAAGGUGAUCUCCAAGUUCUUCCUCAGUCUUGAGGUGUGGGAUUCCCGGUGUGUGUCAUCAGUAUACAUACCUCCACGGUGAUUUCAGAGUUCUUCCUCAGUCCUGAGGUUUGGGAUUCCCGGUUUGUGUCAGUAGAAUUGCGAGAGUGUGAGUUCAUCCUAUUUUCUUCAGUACGAUUUUUUUUCUUGCAUGUAAUGCCUCUUCCCCUAUGAGUUGAUAAUCUUGGGAGAGCAACUGUAGACAGUGGUUAAAUAAGGAACGCAUACGAAAAAUAUAUGUUCCAUGAACUGAUACCUAUGAAGAGUGUGCAAUGACAGAUGUAAUGACCUUUGCCAAAGAUGCUCUAGAGUUUAAAAUCCACUCAAGCAUCUGG
rnacentral:lncRNA from 1 species